CCUACGGGGGCAGCAGUGGGGAAUAUUGCACAAUGGGCGCAAGCCUGAUGCAGCGACGCCGCGUGGGGGAUGACGGCCUUCGGGUUGUAAACUCCUUUCGCCAGGGACGAAGCGCAAGUGACGGUACCUGGAGAAGAAGCACCGGCCAACUACGUGCCAGCAGCCGCGGUAAUACGUAGGGUGCGAGCGUUGUCCGGAAUUACUGGGCGUAAAGAGCUCGUAGGCGGUUUGUCGCGUCGUCUGUGAAAUCCUGCAACUCAAGUGUAGGCGUGCAGGCGAUACGGGCAGACUUGAGUACUACAGGGGAGACUGGAAUUCCUGGUGUAGCGGUGAAAUGCGCAGAUAUCAGGAGGAACACCGGUGGCGAAGGCGGGUCUCUGGGUAGUAACUGACGCUGAGGAGCGAAAGCGUGGGGAGCGAACA
rnacentral:rRNA from 1 species